rnacentral:tRNA from 2 species
GCUGAGUUAGCUUAAUUGGUAAAGCAGUCGUUUUGUAAUCGACCGAUUAGGGUUCGAUUCCCUAACUUAGUA